rnacentral:snRNA from 1 species
AGCUUUGCACAGUGGCAGUAUCAUAGCCAAUGAGGUUUAUCCGAGGCGUGAUUAUUGCUAAUUGAAAAAAUCAAAAGGACACAUACCCACCGUUAUUCAUAGGUAGGAUAUGGGAUCAACCCAGGUG